GGAGUAGCCAAGCGGUAAGGCAACGGACUUUGACUCCGUCAUUCGUGGGUUCGAACCCCGCCUCC
rnacentral:tRNA from 1 species